rnacentral:rRNA from 1 species
ACGAACGCUGGCGGCAGGCUUAACACAUGCAAGUCGAGCGCCUCGCAAGAGGAGCGGCAGACGGGUGAGUAACGCGUGGGAAUCUACCCAUCCUUACGGAACAACUCCGGGAAACUGGAGCUAAUACCGUAUACGCCCUUAGGGGGAAAGAUUUAUCGAGGAUGGAUGAGCCCGCGUUGGAUUAGCUAGUUGGUGGGGUAAAGGCCUACCAAGGCGACGAUCCAUAGCUG